AAACGCGUAGGCAACCUGCCCUUUAGACGGGGACAACAUUCCGAAAGGAGUGCUAAUACCGGAUGUGAUCAUCGUGCCGCAUGGCAGGAUGAAGAAAGAUGGCCUCUACAAGUAAGCUAUCGCUAAAGGAUGGGCCUGCGUCUGAUUAGCUAGUUGGUAGUGUAACGGACUACCAAGGCGAUGAUCAGUAGCCGGUCUGAGAGGAUGAACGGCCACAUUGGGACUGAGACACGGCCCAAACUCCUACGGGAGGCAGCAGUGGGGAAUCUUCCGCAAUGGACGAAAGUCUGACGGAGCAACGCCGCGUGAGUGAUGAAGGAUUUCGGUCUGUAAAGCUCUGUUGUUUAUGACGAACGUGCAGUGUGUGAACAAUGCAUUGCAAUGACGGUAGUAAACGAGGAAGCCACGGCUAACUACGUGCCAGCAGCCGCGGUAAUACGUAGGUGGCGAGCGUUGUCCGGAAUUAUUGGGCGUAAAGAGCAUGUAGGCGGCUUAAUAAGUCGAGCGUGAAAAUGCGGGGCUCAACCCCGUAUGGCGCUGGAAACUGUUAGGCUUGAGUGCAGGAGAGGAAAGGGGAAUUCCCAGUGUAGCGGUGAAAUGCGUAGAUAUUGGGAGGAACACCAGUGGCGAAGGCGCCUUUCUGGACUGUGUCUGACGCUGAGAUGCGAAAGCCAGGNUAGCGAACGGGAUUAGAUACCCCGGUAGUCCUGGCCGUAAACGAUGGGUACUAGGUG
rnacentral:rRNA from 1 species